UUUACUGCUGUAGAAAAGCAGAAAAUGAAACAGAUGGGAAUAAGGGAAACUGAAAAAGGAGAAUGGGUCCUUACCGAUGGGCGUAAGGUAAUACCGAAAGCAAUGGCUCUGAGGGUGCUACGGAGACUACAUGAGCAUACACACUGGGGUACUCAGGCGUUGGUAGAUCAAUUUGCUACAAAUUACAUGUGUAUAGGGGUAUAUAACAUAGCAAAAAGAAUUGUGAAUGACUGCAUAACUUGCCGGAGGGUAAAUGCUCAGCACAUGCGGAGAAGAGUUCCCGGAGGAGGACGAAAA